rnacentral:sRNA from 1 species
UGAAUGGCAUUGAUGAACAGUCAAGGA